rnacentral:misc_RNA from 1 species
GCACAGGAUCGAGCUUUGGUGGCACUUGCUGCUGCUGAUGAUCCAAACAGAGGCCUCCUUGCCAGUGGGGACCCUAAUACUGCUGAGGAGUGUGAUAGUGAUGAACAAUCUGAUUCAGAGUACAGUUUUGUUCUUCGCAUUGUCCUCUUGCUGGUUGUAGCUUCUACUUGUCUUCAACUCAGCCUUGAUAGUUGUACCCAUAUCACUUGGGCGUACCCUUUUCAAUUCCAUUCCUCUUCUCCCAAUAACCCAUNNNNNNAAUGAUCUCUAUGCUUUCAUAAUUGGAAGCUAUGUCAUUUGGACUGCUUUGGCUGGAGCCAGAUAUUCCAUUGAACAUAUUAGAACAAAUAGGGCGACUAUUUUGCUUAGCCAAAUCUGGAAGUGGUGUGGCAUUGUUC